rnacentral:lncRNA from 1 species
GUAGUUACUAUGCGUAACACAGGAAGAAGCUUUGCAUGAUUGUUAAAACUUGGAUUUGAGUCCAGUAGACAUGGAUUUGAAUCCUGGCUGGCCAUCCACAUACUAUCCAUUUUACUUUGGGUAGCAUCUGGGACUGACUAUAUUUAACCUCGGAAGUGAUGACCCAGUAGAUUCCAGAGAACAUGAAUUCUUACAAGUGAGGGAGGUAAAACCCAGACUGAGACUUGCCCAAAGAUGUCCAUAGCUGUUGGAAGACCAGGAAGAGAUCUGAGACGCAGAAGAAGAUGAACACUGCCUGCCACACGAGUUCUGGAACAUAGGGGUUUUUCAAUGAGGAAAUUGAACCUUGGCUGAGGUGACAUAAAAUGGCCACAAGGUCACUUAACUGGAAAGUGUCUCCUGUCUUCAAGUCCAGUUCUUUCUAUUAUACUGUUCUGACUCUUCCUUCCUUUCACUAAUGAAGGAUUACAGUCCUAGACUUUGGGCUCCCACUGAGAAGGUGCCUCAUUGCUUAAUGGCCUCCUGGUAGCAGUGAGUAUGGCCUAAACGGCGCUUUGUGAAGAUUCCUCGUGACUUAAAUUGACUCGCGUUUGUGAGACCACGUUUGAAUUUAUAACCUAACAAACUGCCACUGUCUAUUUUGAAAGAACACAACUCACAUGUGAUCCACCCUCUCCACUCACAAUGCCUACAAAAUAAUCAUUCUUCCAAGGCUUUUAUAUUUCCUGAGCCGACUUUUCUUCCCCUUGCUUUUUCCUGAAUGAGGAAGUGCUUAUAAUCUCACCUCUUAAAUUACGUUUUAAGGUCUCACAAACCAUAGUAAAGGAAGGGAUAGAGUCAACACUAAUUUCAUAAACUAUCUGUAAGGGAAUUAAUUGCAACCUGACUUAUUUUUCUUUUAGGAAGAAGCUGUAAAGAAAUCCCAUAAAUUUUGAAGGAGGAAUAAAUUCUUUCUCAAAAGGGGUGAGAACUGUAGUAAAAUGUUAAAAUAGCACAAAUUAAAGUUGACUGGAAUCUCCUAUAAAAUCAGAUCAAGCCAAAGGGUAGUAAAUAUCACUCUGAAGAAAAAACCAGUGUCUUUCCAGCAAUAAAACUGAAGAAAAUAUUACAUUUAAAUGUAUACUGUGAAAGGCAUUCUGAGUCAAGAUAUACAAAAAUUAUACAUGUCAAGCAACCAUACUUGGCGUUGAAUUUAAUGUUUUCUCAACCCUAACUCUUAAUAGGGAAAAGAUAUUGAAUCUUUUUUUUCUAAAUAAGCUGAUACAUCCUGAAAAAUGGUUAAGUCAAGAUAUUACCUCAAAAGGAGGGUCACCUUACUUGAGACUAUAUGAAAUAGAAAAUAUAGUUAUUUCUUAAUGUUUGUAGUCUCAAUAUAUAAAUAGUGUCAUAUAAAUAUAUAUAAAAGUGCUAAACAGUGUCAUUUCUCAAUUUUCCACGUGAGGCUUCUGUGUAUCAUAUUUUUCUCUCAGUUUCUCAGUAUCUUAUCCCUCCCAUAUAUGUGGUCAUUGUAGUUAGGAAAACAAAUUAACUUUGACUUUAUCCAAGGAAAAUGAUCAUCUUUAUAUCUCCAUUGACAAGAAUUGUACCAUGCUUAAAAUAGGUUUAUUCAACUAUAUUUGUCAAAUGAAAAUCUUUAGAAAAUUGAAUCUGCAAAAGUGAUGUUUAUAAUGCAUUCUUAAAUCAAAUGAUUGAUUUGAGAUCAGUUGUUUGUCAUUAUUUAGGGUUGUCUCCCCUCUGCAUUUUGUAAAUAGUUAAGAUUCAAUUAAAUCUUCACGAAACUUUAAUGAUCUAAUCUUCACUAUAAUAUAGAUAUCAGGAGCAUUCUCUGGAAUCAUAAACCUGAAUAUCAGCCUUACCUCUACCUCUAAUUAGCACAUUACUUGAUUUCUCUGCAUCUCAGUUUCCCCAUCUGUAAAACGGGGACAAUAUACAUACUCAUCUCUUUAAGGACGUUGAAAAAAUUGUAUUCACUGAUGCAUGUGAAGCAUUUGAAGAAAUAAUGGGAAAUAGAAAAAGUGCUGAUCAAUGUUUAUUGUGAUAAUGGUUACGAGUAUUAUUUUUUAUAUACCAGUAAUUUGAUUUGGUAAAGUUAGUAAUAUAUUCUAACCUCAGCUAUCUCAUUUUAAAAAAUAUGGUGGUUGGGCUAAGUUACCGAUAAUGCCCUUUCCAACUCUAAAAGCUAAUACUUCCAUGACUCUAAGACAGGAUAUAUAUGGUCUGAAAGAUCUACUCCAUAAAUUCUGUUCAAAUAUCUGCACAGUGUUCCCCUCCCCAAUAUUAAAAAUAAUACAUGAUAGAAGUGAUCUAAAAUAGUGGAAAGUGCACUGGAGAACUUAGAGAGAAAGAUGCUUGGUUUAGAUUCAACCCUAGCAGUAGCUAGCUUUGUCGUUUUGUAAAGUUACGUUUAUAUGGCCUACGAUUCUCUAUUACAGGUGCACUGUAAGAAGAGAAGGGCCAGCCUAACUUUUUAUGCCAAACAAAAAAUGAACCAUAUAAUAAUUUUAAUAGCUUUCACAGACUUUUCACAGGUUUCCAAGAAUUCCUGUGUUCUACAAACUUUAAUGUACUCUAGCGCAUUAGAGUCCAUGGUCAGCACAUAAAAUGUUACCCAUCGGGCUUAAAAUAUAAGAUUUAACGCAGAUCAUCAACUUUGCAACAUUCCCCACAGAAAACCUCUAAUUUCCUUCAAAGUUAAUACAGGAAAAGAAAUAGAGAUGUCACAGAGAAUCUUUCAGCACUUGGUAGACAAAAAUACAAGACACAAUUUAUGCAAACUUCAGCAAGUUCUUUGGCUAAGUUUAUAACAUUUGGUAACCUCUAAUUUGCAUAUGCGUUCUUUGGAUUUUUAAGUCUGUCCAAUUUUGUCUGGUUUUGGAACAUCGUCUUUGGAGGUCAAACAAUUCUUUUGAAAUUUUGACAAUUUCUGCCAAUCCACUCUGAAAGGUUGGAGAAACACUUUCACACCUACCUUUAUUUUUCAAACAAGAUGCCCCACUGAAAACCAUAGGCAUUUAUGGUGAGCGAGCUAAAGGUCUUCUUUCUCUUUCAUUUGAUCCAAGAUUUGAAAACACUAAGUGAUGUGGUUAGCAUCAAGUGUGGGCUGGCAUCCAUAAAAAUAUUUUAUAACCUAAAGUAGGCAAAGUCUGACUGUGGAAUGAUAGAGCUCUCAGUGAAGUGUAGUUUGUUUUAACAUUGUUAUUGUUGUAGUGUUUAAUAUGGUUUAUUGUAACCUGCUUGUUGGUUGAUUUUUUUAUGGUUAAUUUAUGACUUUGUGUCCUGUGAUGGCUUAAAUAAACAUAUGUAUUUUAUUUCCUUUGAGAUUGCUAAUUGUUGUGCAGUAAAUAGGCAUUUUACU